GGCCCAGAUCUCCUGAGAAUGUGUGACUCUACUGAAAGAUGCCUCAGUCUGUUAAUAAGGGAAAUUAUUGAGGAAAUGGAGGAAAAGGAGGAGGAAAUGGAGAGAGUCAGUUCAGAAAACAUGGCCACUCAAGAGAAGCUACAGGCAUAUGAUGUGCUGCCAGAAUUUCUAAGUUUCCAGUUCUUUGGGGAGCUCAAGAUUUUGGAAUAGCUGGGAUAAAAAGAGAAAUCUCUUUCAAGCUGAGUGAAAAGCCCACUCUAGCUCUCCUGAAGAGACAGGAAGAGAAAAGUGGGGCAGAGAACCCAUCGGCAAAGCUCUGGGCUUGGGGCACAGGGUCUCUGUGACAUCCUGGGCACCUUCACUGUGGCCAGUGAGGAGGAAGUUCUGCCCCAGCCGGCCUGCGGGGACUAUGGGGCAAGGGAGGAGCUCUUCCUCUAGAAAUACAGCAGCCUCACCCUUGUGGGGUAGCUGUUUCAGGCACCAGAAGGACUCAGCCCAUGGACUCCGG
rnacentral:lncRNA from 1 species